UGCAAGUCGGACGGGGAUCCAUCGGAGAGCUUGCUCGAAGAUGGUGAGAGUGGCGCACGGGUGCGUAACGCGUGAGCAACCUACCUCUAUCAGGGGGAUAGCCUCUCGAAAGAGAGAUUAACACCGCAUAACAUCAACAGUUCGCAUGUUCGGUUGAUUAAAUAUUUAUAGGAUAGAGAUGGGCUCGCGUGACAUUAGCUAGUUGGUAGGGUAACGGCUUACCAAGGCGACGAUGUCUAGGGGCUCUGAGAGGAGAAUCCCCCACACUGGUACUGAGACACGGACCAGACUCCUACGGGAGGCAGCAGUAAGGAAUAUUGGUCAAUGGGCGGAAGCCUGAACCAGCCAUGCCGCGUGCAGGAUGACUGCCCUAUGGGUUGUAAACUGCUUUUGUCCAGGAAUAAACCUAAAUACGUGUAUUUAGCUGAAUGUACUGGAAGAAUAAGGAUCGGCUAACUCCGUGCCAGCAGCCGCGGUAAUACGGAGGAUCCGAGCGUUAUCCGGAUUUAUUGGGUUUAAAGGGUGCGUAGGCGGCCUAUUAAGUCAGGGGUGAAAUACGGUGGCUCAACCAUCGCAGUGCCUUUGAUACUGAUGGGCUUGAAUCCAUUUGAAGUGGGCGGAAUAAGACAAGUAGCGGUGAAAUGCAUAGAUAUGUCUUAGAACUCCGAUUGCGAAGGCAGCUCACUAAGCUGGUAUUGACGCUGAUGCACGAAAGCGUGGGGAUCGAACAGGAUUAGAUACCCUGGUAGUCCACGCCCUAAACGAUGAUAACUCGAUGUUGGCGAUAGACAGCCAGCGUCCCAGCGAAAGCGUUAAGUUAUCCACCUGGGGAGUACGCCCGCAAGGGUGAAACUCAAAGGAAUUGACGGGGGCCCGCACAAGCGGAGGAGCAUGUGGUUUAAUUCGAUGAUACGCGAGGAACCUUACCCGGGCUUGAAAGUUAGUGAAGAGUGCAGAGACGCACUCGUCCUUCGGGACACGAAACUAGGUGCUGCAUGGCUGUCGUCAGCUCG
rnacentral:rRNA from 1 species